ensembl:lncRNA
UUUUUUUAAUUUCCAUUAAUUGUUCCAAUUGCCGUUAUAAGCUGCACCGGGUUCUGUUUUCUCCAUCAGAUCUUCUGCUAAGGAGCUCCUUAGCUUCACCUGAUGUCACUUGUUCCCCAUAAGGAACCUGCUAGCCCUAGGAAGAAGCAGAAGCUGCAUUUUGCUACUAAGAAGAUGACAGCGGUCCAUCAGGCUAUGGCUUAGUGCAGCCUUUCAUCCCUACUUAGCUUGAGUAAUCAGAGCAAGGACUGGAGGGAGGGAUCCUACCAGCCCCUUAAACCCACAGCAAGCUUUGAAGCAGAAAUCAGACCCUGCGCCGAGCAAUGUGCAGGAGCGGAAGCAACAGCAAAGAACAGGAGAUGACCAGCAGGAACAUCCUUGUGUGGAUGAGAGCUAAGCCUAAAUAAACACUUCCCUGAAAACAUGGGGCUAAGAAAAGCAUUAUAAACCUGCACAGGAAACUUAACUCUCUGCUAACCUACGUUAAGAAGCUGCGCUGUGAGGAUGCUCAAGGAAUUAGAGGCAGGCUUAGGUGCAGAUCUGAG